UCCCUCCUGGGUAGUAAUGGACAGACA
rnacentral:piRNA from 1 species